rnacentral:rRNA from 1 species
GACGAACGCUGGCGGCGUGCCUAAUACAUGCAAGUAGGACGCAGUUGCGAACGGGUGAGUAACGCGUAGGUAACUACCUAUUAGAGGGGGAUAACUAUUGGAAACGAUAGCUAAUACCGCAUACUAGUAGAUGGACCUGCGUUGUAUUAGCUAGUAGGUAGGGUAAUGGCCUACCUAGGAAACGAUACAUAGCCGACCGGGGAGGGUGAACGGGCAAAAGUGGACUGAGGAACGGCCCAGACUCCCACGGGAGGCAGCAGUAGGGAAGUUUCGGCAAUGGGGGGAACCCUGACCGCGCAACGCCGCGUGAGUGAAGGAGGUUUUCGGAUCGUAAAGGUCUGUUGUUCAGGAAGCGGUACUUAACCAGAAAGGGACGGCUAACUACGUGCCAGCAGCCGCGGUAAUUC